rnacentral:piRNA from 1 species
UAAGCGUGGUUAGGACAAUCUUUUGUGUC